AGUGAUGAACCACUGGGACCUGAGAUGAUGACUACGCUUGUUUGCCAUUUGUGCUCAUUCGCACAUGCUUGUGAGGGUCUGUCACGCCCCAAUCCCCGCCAAUUUGGUCGGGUUCGGGUCACGUCAACAGACGCCGAACGGAUAGAGCCUCCCCUGUCCGCCCAAGGCUCUAACAACAUGUAUAAAUAGGCAAUCAACAAGAGAAUUGCAUAUAUAAUACAAGGCUCGCACGAGGGCAAGCAACAACGGAAGCGAAAGCUCUAAGCUAAAUAUACAUCACACAUGAUAUUUGAUUUCAUUUAAACCAAAUUCAAGUAAACAAAGCUAUUACAUUCCAUUCA
rnacentral:lncRNA from 1 species